rnacentral:rRNA from 1 species
ACCCGCUAAAUUUAAGCAUAUCAAUAAGCGGAGGAAAAGAAACCAACAGGGAUUGCUCUAGUAACGGCGAGUGAAGCAGCAAUAGCUCAAAUUUGAAAUCUGGCGUCUUCGACGUCCGAGUUGUAAUUUGUAGAGGAUGCUUCUGAGUAACCACCGACCUAAGUUCCUUGGAACAGGACGUCAUAGAGGGUGAGAGCCCCGUAUGGUAGGACGCCGGCCUUCGCCUUGUAAAGCCCCUUCGACGAGUCGAGUUGUUUGGGAAUGCAGCUCUAAAUGGGAGGUAAAUUUCUUCUAAAGCUAAAUACCCGCCAGAGACCGAUAGCGCACAAGUAGAGUGAUCGAAAGAUGAAAAGCACUUUGGAAAGAGAGUGAAAAAGCACGUGAAAUUGUUGAAAGGGAAGCGCUUGCGGCCAGACGUGCGCGCGGUUGAUCAUCCAGGCUCCAGCCUGGUGCACUCCUCCGCGCGCAGGCCAGCAUCAGUUCGGGCGGUCGGAUAAAGGCCUCUGUCACGUACCACCCCCCGGGGUGGCCUUAUAGGGGAGGCGCAACACGGCCAGCCUGGACUGAGGUUCCGCGCAUCUGCUAGGAUGCUGGCGUAAUGGCAGCAAGCGGCCCGUCUUGAAACACGGACCAAGGAG